AUAUAUAGUGGAGCACGGUAUGGCGCCGUUAUUAAUGGCGCAGACAAGUGAGGAACUGUCAACUCACUGUAGACUGUCAGAGCCGCUGUGAAAAUGUCAUGUCGCCGUGUGGCCGUCUAAUUACCAGGGUUGACCUCGCUCUCGGCGGGACAAUGCCCCUGGAUAACUGUGCCGCAUGUCCGUGUCAGAGCUGACAAGGUCUGGCGGCUGUACGGCGAUGGGAGGAGACGGCUGACCCUUGGUCGGUGGCCAGCAGAGUGGCGUCGGGUUCCUCCGUCAGUCGGCGAGUUUCAUGUGAGUCGGCCUCUGGGUUUGGUCGGUCAGGAGGGAUACGCCCGACAUACCUCCAGUCGGCGAUUGGGCCAUUGAAAAGCCGUCAGUAGCGUCCGUUAGUCGGGCACUCCCGGCUUUCAGUCGGGGCGCUCCGACCGUCGAUCGGUCGGUAUGCCCGUCAGUCGGUCGGUCGGCCAGUCGGAGACGGUCGGUCGGGCCGCCAGCCGGUCGGGCCCUCCGAUAGUCGGUCGG
rnacentral:lncRNA from 1 species